rnacentral:rRNA from 1 species
GACGAACGCUGGCGGCGUGCUUAACACAUGCAAGUCGAACGGAAAGGCCCUGCUUUUGUGGGGUGCUCGAGUGGCGAACGGGUGAGUAACACGUGAGUAACCUGCCCUUGACUUUGGGAUAACUUCAGGAAACUGGGGCUAAUACCGGAUAGGAGCUCCUGCUGCAUGGUGGGGGUUGGAAAGUUUCGGCGGUUGGGGAUGGACUCGCGGCUUAUCAGCUUGUUGGUGGGGUAGUGGCUUACCAAGGCUUUGACGGGUAGCCGGCCUGAGAGGGUGACCGGCCACAUUGGGACUGAGAGACGGCCCAGACUCCUACGGGAGGCAGCAGUGGGGAGUAUUGCACAAUGGGCGGAAGCCUGAUGCAGCAACGCCGCGUGCGGGAUGACGGCCUUCGGGUUGUAAACCGCUUUCGCCUGUGACGAAGCGUGAGUGACGGUAAUGAGUAAAGAAGCACCGGCUAACUACGUG